rnacentral:rRNA from 1 species
UAGGGAAUCUUCCACAAUGGACGCAAGUCUGAUGGAGCAACGCCGCGUGAGUGAAGAAGGUCUUCGGAUCGUAAAACUCUGUUGUUAGAGAAGAACAUGCAGGAGAGUAACUGUUCUUGUAUUGACGGUAUCUAACCAGAAAGCCACGGCUAACUACGUGCCAG